UGAGGAACAUGACCUUCGGCGGGGGAGUAGCCGGCCCAACGGCCGGGUAAUACCGCGUACGACCACAUGGGGACAUCCCUGAGUGGUGAAAGCAGCAAUGCGCCGAUGGAGUGCCUCGCGGCCUAUCAGCUAGUUGGUGAGGUAACGGCUCACCAAGGCGACGACGGGUAGCUGGUCUGAGAGGAUGGCCAGCCACAUUGGGACUGAGACACGGCCCAGACCUNUACGGGAGG
rnacentral:rRNA from 1 species